AAAAAGGGAGGACAAGAUGGCCGACGAGAUUGUGCGCUUCGAGUAUGAGAAGCAGGGUUAUCCCGAGGACUUUUACCCACCCUUCAACAGGGACUUUUUCCCCAUCAUCCCCAUCACGGUGGCUGUGUACUUGCUGGUCGUCUU
rnacentral:ribozyme from 1 species